rnacentral:rRNA from 1 species
CCCUUAGAUGUUCUGGGCCGCACGCGUGCUACACUGAGUGGAUCAGCGGGUCAGGUUGCGCGAAAGCGUUUCCUAAUCUUUAAAUCCGCUCGUGAUGGGGAUUGACGGUUGCAAUUUUCUGUCAUGAACGAGGAAUACCUUGUAAGCGCGGGUCAUCAUCCCGCGCUGAAUACGUCCCUGCCCUUUGUACACACCGCCCGUCGCUCCUACCGAUUGGAUGGCUUAGUGAGACCCUCGGACCGAUAGGCUGUCGCUGCAGCAAUGUGGCGACUGGCCCGUCUGGGAAGAAGGUCAAACUUGACUGUCUAGAGGAAGUAAAAGUCGUAACA